rnacentral:rRNA from 1 species
GAGUCUCUACCUUCUGAGGAACUUUCAUGCCAUUUAUUUGGUGUGGUUGGAAAUCAGGACUGUUACUUUGAAAAAAUUAGAGUGUUUAAAGCAGGCUAACGUCUGAAUACAUUAGCAUGGAAUAAUGAAAUAGGACGGAUUGAUUCUAUUUCGUUGGUUUCUAGGGUCACCGUAAUGAUUAAUAGGGAUAGUUGGGGGCAUUAGUAUUCAAUUGUCAGAGGUGAAAUUCUUGGAUUUAUUGAAGACUAACUACUGCGAAAGCAUUUGCCAAGGAUGUUUUCAUUAAUCAAGAACGAAAGUUAGGGGAUCGAAGACGAUCAGAUACCGUCGUAGUCUUAACCAUAAACUAUGCCGACUAGGGAUCGGAUGAUGUUAUUUUUAAUGACUCAUUCGGCGCCUUACA